UACGUGGGGCGCAAGCGUUGUCCGGAAUUAUUGGGCGUAAAGAGCUCGUAGGCGGCUUGUCACGUCGGGUGUGAAAGCCCGGGGCUUAACCCCGGGUCUGCAUUCGAUACGGGCAGGCUAGAGUGUGGUAGGGGAGAUCGGAAUUCCUGGUGUAGCGGUGAAAUGCGCAGAUAUCAGGAGGAACACCGGUGGCGAAGGCGGAUCUCUGGGCCAUUACUGACGCUGAGGAGCGAAAGCGUGGGGAGCAAACAGG
rnacentral:rRNA from 1 species